CGGAUGUGCGGCGGCGCCGCCGGAAAAAAGAAGUGGCCACGGCUUAGGGAGUUGAGUUAGAAGACCUGCAGCUGGGCUAAGGUGGAAGGUGGGGGGGAAGAGAGGAUGCCGACGGCAGGGGGCGCUGGUGGCCGGGCUGUCAUGGAGCGGGAGGACGCAGGCUAUGGCUCCGGAGCACGCUGCCAACCCGGCUUGUCACAAGAGGGGAGUCCGAAACCUGUGAAACAACCCGCCUAGCGGCUUCGGCCGUCGGGCGACGUGGGCGGAGGGAAAGCUUUCCCAGCUGCGUCUCUUCCUGGUUGCAUCUCCGCUGCUCUUCGCUGCUGGGUCGGCGCACUGGCGUUCAAGGCCCCUCCAGUGGGCAAGCCAUGGUUCUUCUAAGAGUCAUUAGAAGUACCGGAGAAAAGAUUUUCUCCAAGAACGGGCAGUUCAGAAGCUCCACAUGAGACCCCAGCAGAAUUGUCAACAGGAAAGAAUCAUCAGUUAUAAGCACCAACGGGAGAAAUGUACAUUACAUCUCUUCAGCAACAAAGCCAAUGAGAAACCAUCAUCACCCUGUACUCUUGCUUUACUCCAGUGGACUUUCCUUCAAAACAACCCCUCCCAACUUCCUCUUCCUUCUCCAGAAAAUAACAUUCCUUUCCUUUCUUGGACUAGCCUAUGGUUUUUGCCAUAGCUUGCUUGUCCCACGUUGCAGUUCUCUGCUAUUCUUGAAUAAACUCAUUUUUGCUGCUAAAAUAACUGUUUAUUUUUAAGGUCAUCAAAAAUGUAUUUGUUAUACAUAGGUAUCUGUCAAAAUUGAAAUAAAGUGAAAUAGACUAGAGGCGAUAUCCAUUUCAAGAAAAAUGAGAGAAAGCAAAUUUGCUUGGGGAAGUGGUCUUUUCUUCGCUUGUUACGUUACCUGUCUGGCUCCUGUAAACGUUUGAGCUUGCCACCCCAAUAGAGAGCUGACUCCCUCAUUUGCCAAAGAGGAUCUGAGACUAUAACAGCACUCCAAUCAGGAGUUAAGGGUUAAACUGCUUCAAGCUUCUGUGCUCCCAGCUUGCUGACCUAAGCUCCCUUCUUGCUGACCUAAGUCUCUUUGUCUAUAGCAGAACUAACCUACUUUCCUUGAGAUUUGCAGGCCACUGGCCUUGAGGAGUGAAGGCCCAGACUUUUCCAGAAGGUAAGCCCUGACCACCAUCUAAAACACGUGCCACUGAUGCUGGCCAGUCUGUUCAGGGUCAUGUCCACAUAUGACUAAUUGCCAGGGCACUGCUUCUCCUGCAUGGAGACCCCUACCUCCCCUUCCCCAUUUCCAGUGCCAUUCUCUGCCUAGUAACAAGACCUGGGGAGGGUGGGCGUCUUGCCUAGGUCUCACAUGGAUUUAGCAGUACGUUCCUUUUUACCUUGCCCACCAUGGCAGAUUAGUAACUGUGUGACAAGCAUUUAUUUUCAUAGUGAACACCUAUUAAAGGAGGGUGGUUUGAAAAAUAAAAAUGAAAACAGGUGGGCUGUAUCCUAAGUUAUUAGGCUGGUUAGGCUCGGUUGGAAUUCCCUAAUGCCAAAGGUCAUGGGAGGUUCACACACAUUGUCAAGAGAGGAGGAUGGGAGAGAAGGAGGGCAGUGGACAGCCUGGCCUGAAGGCCCCAUCCAGGUGGCAGUGCUGUCCUGGCGCUCCAGCUCCAUGGUGCUUUUGUUCUUUUCACUUGAAUCCUGCUGUUGCAGGUCCCUCGGGUACAUGCGUGUGGGGUGCAGCGUCAGACUAUAGAGAGAGCACAGGCUCUGAGUCAGCAGGCCUGGGUUCAAAUGUUGCCUCUUUCUUACCACCAGGAGAACCUAGAAAGAUUUCUUCGUCCUUCUAAACCUCAGUUAUCCUGCCAAUAAAAUGGGAGUGAAAAUGCCUGUUUUGCAGGGUUGCAAUGAAAACUCGGGGAGGCGGUACAUGCAGGCAGUUGUAAGAGGCCUGAUGUGUUGGUUCCACUCUACUCCGACCUCUUAGCCCUCUGUCCUGAGGGGAUUCUGGACAGCACUAGUCACAAGGAGACUGCGAAGGCUGCUGGUGACUUUCUUCUCUCGUGCUGGUGGCCACAUUUGCUUUGCAGGUGCUCUUUGACAAGAGACCAUCAGGGCUGGUGAUGCCAGUGUGCAGCCUUUCAGAUGUGCUGGAGGAUAAAAGGCCCUGCCCUGAGUCCCUGGAGUGCCUCCACGCACCAUGCAGACAGAAUAUCUUGGCCCCUCCACACCUGAGCAGACCUGGAAACGGAAAAGGGGAAAAGAAAAAGACCAUUUGCCAGCAGUCUUUUUGGGCUCCUUAGCUUCGAACAUUCUUCUGACACCAGCCCACAGUAGACAUGGCUCAUGGCGUUUAGUGUUGCUGGGUGGCCCCAGAACCCCACAGCUGUGGCAGUUCUUGCUGUUCUUCUAGUGGCUUCACAAUCCCACUGUGAGGUUCCCUUGACACUGCAGAAUCUCUGUCCCCCUGCCGCCCUUGCCCGGUGUAGAGAGGGGUUCACCAUUCCCAAUGCUGUGCGACAGCCUCUGUUGCAUCUUUGGGCACGUGGAAGUGAAUUUGUCUUAUUGUCCUGUAGAAGUAAAUGGAAAUACUUAUUUUGCAUAAAUUAAUACAUGGACUAGGGGCGGCCUCCAUCUUUCUGGUUUCUGGAGAGUGAAAACUGUAAGGCCUGACAGUCUCAGAUCCUAAAUACAGAAGCCUCUUCACCUCUGGACUGAACACUUGAAACCAAAACAUGUCCUUUUGCCGAUGCUCAUUUGAGUCCAUUUUUCUAACACAGAUGACAAGAUCCUGACUAGUGCAGAAAUUGGUCUUGCCAAUGGGGUAUCACCGCAGACUCUAAAAUCAAACAAUGACGGGGUUGGGUGGCUCUUCAGAGCGGAUUGUUCUUUCCUGGCUGGAAACUUGACAAUUCUCAUAUACAGGAUAUUUUUCCGUCUGCCCUUUCAGGCCCACCUGUCAUGAGGGAGGCAGGAGGAAGCCCCUGGGAAGAUGUGUAGGGGUGAAUGGGAUCCGGAUGGCGCCUCUGGUAGAGCCAGGGAGCUGGAGGGAGAGCUGAUGGAAUAGACGGGUGGGGCGGUUCUCAUCUCCCUUCUCUGUGAGAUAAGAAGCAAGAUUAUCUUCUGGGUGUCAAGGAGGCACAGGUGGAUGGCAGGUUUAAGAGAAGUGAUAACAAUCUGGGAGGGCUCUAGAAAAGGAUGGGAGAGUGACUGACAGGAAACAAGUACUCGAUUUGGAGACUGGUGGAGAGGGGGCUCCACCAAUCCUAGGAACCCAACCCUGAUGAGGCAUCAGUCCACAGGAGGGCCAGCUGGCUGUGUGUGGCUCUCUGAAUGCUGAGCAGUUCUGUGGGGGCAGAGCUGGGGCAGGGGGCUUGCGGGCUGAUGGACAGGCAGGGAUAGUAUGGGCACAGUGGAAGACGGGGUGCUGAGGAGCUCAUGCGCUGGCUGACAUCCUAUUGGAGUCCACCCUCCUUUGCAUGGCAAACUGCAGUCAGUGAGGUAGCAGCUCUUCCCACAGUAGCCCAAAUUCCCAGAAACAGCAACUGAGAAGAUAGGAGGACACCUGAGGCACAGGGGGGAAUGUGCCAUGACCACUCUUACCUGGCUUUAUGGGCUCCAUGAGAAAUUGUCCAUAGGAACAAUGUCCAUUAGGAAGAUUCCAUUUCAAAGCCUGGCUUGUAAAGGCCAUCUUAAAACAGUCUUCAGGUUUUAGGUGGUGAGAGAGGACAGCAUGUUCUCUCCCAUUGCCACCUGAUCAAUCAAAUGUCAGCAAGACUGAGCCUCUGCUAGCAAAACAGUGUUUCCUAUUCCAAAGACAGCUCUUCCCAAGAGAUUAAAAAUUAGACCAGUAGUUGUCCACUAGAAAACUCCUGAACAUUCUUUGUCAUAAUUAUAGCAGGGAAUAGAAAACCUAGUUUAUAGAGUGUUUUAUGUUCACUCUUUGCCAUCUGUUACUUCCUGAGUCUUCACAAUAGCCCUGGGAGGUAAGUAGGCUCAUCCCACUAUUUCUAUAUUUCAGUUGAUGAUGUGAGGUGCACCCACCCUCAUUCUUCCUCCCUCCUUUGCCCUGCUCCCUGAGACUAUAGUCAUUUCCCUCUGACAGUGUAUGGAACUCUACGGUUUACUAGCUAGUCACUGGAUUUUCCCCCAGUCUCAGGCCUUGCUCAUUGCUGCUUAAAAGCCAUAAUACAGUUUAUUACAAUAAACAUUUUAAAGGCUCACUUGUAAAAUGGACUUGGCAAAAAGAAUAGAUACACAUAAAGGGCCAAGCAGUGUUUUUUCUGUAUCAUCUGUCUCCCAUGGGAGGGAGGAGUCUAUGUUAAUUAAAUUAAAAGACCAACCACCUAUCAAUUUAGCAAACGUGAAUCCCCCUGGGUUACAGUAAGGGAAGUUGUAUUUCUGAAAAUAAAAUAAUCCUGGAUUGGAACUUGAAAGGAAGGAGUUGCUGUGCAAUCAGAAGGCACCGAAUGGGCACUCGAUGAAUAUUUAUCAAAUCAACGUAUCAAGACUCCUGCAUGUGCCAAUACUUUGCCCACCUUUUCUCAAAGGCCUAUCUGUGAACUACAGGGAAGCAAUGUUUGGGGAUCAUCAGGAAAGAUGUUUACCCAGUAGAUAUGACAAGAUGUCACAUGGUAUCUCAUAAAAUGUGAAAUUGAAGCUACUUCUGAGAGAAAAUUAGCAAGUAAAAACCUACAUGUACUGAGAUCAUCCAUUUAUAGAAAGCAGCUGCUCCGACCUUCCCUUUUCCCCAGAAUCACGAGCUGCAGACGGACCUCAUGACGGAAAGGGUGUGUUCCCAGUGAAGUGUGGCCUCGUGCUUGUGGCUGUGGCACCGCCCUCAGUGUGAAAGCAAAUGGUACAUCACAGAGACAAAAUCCAGCAGAGCAUUGCCAACACUUCCCAGAGUAGAGGAGGCUUGGGCCA